AAAAACAUGUUCCCUUUCUCAUUCUCUCUUUCUCCUGUUUCUCCUCUUUCUCUCUCUACACUCGUUUUCUGGUUUGAGAAACCAUUGCAACAGAACUCCUCGAUCUCUCAUUUCAAAUCAAGAUCGUUUCGUUGACUGGCGAGUCUGAUGCAAACUUUCAAGAUCGGUGAAACUUUAGCUUCGUUUUCUUCAGAUCUAGUUGAUUCUCUACCUCAUGCUUUCAAUUCGAAGCUCAAAUCACUCUAUUCGAUUCCUCUCCAGGUCUGAGUUUAUUGGUUUUCAAUUUUAUUGAGAUGUCGAGGUUGAAGACUGCAUCAUAUUGGAAAUUGGUCUCGGCCUUCUAGUUCUUGUAUGAAUUCAGGAUUCCGAGUCUGAUGCCGAUGCCGAUUACUUUGUUUUAUAUAUCUAAUUUUUAAAUUUAACAGAUAUUGAAAGGUGUUGAACAUGAGGUUGUUUUCAAAUGAAGAUAAUGGAAAAGCGUGGGAUCAUAGUGUCAUGUAGAAAAAUUAUCAAGUUUUAUAAUCGCUUAUUCUAUAAGUUGUAAAUUAAUUGUUUAUCCAAACAAGACUUAUGAAAUAAGUAAUUAUGUGAUAAUGUUUGGUUAUGCUUAAUUAAGUUGUUUAUCUAAACAUGGUCUAAUUGCUAGAUUACGGGUUUGUACAGUGAGUCACUUUACGUUGUAUGGAUUAUUGAAGAGUAACAAGUCAGAUUUCCAUGUGGCAAUGGCGCUUCAAAGAGCCAGAACCUUCUAUGCCUCUUUAUUGGACAGGUUUAGGAAUGCUUAUAACUCUGAUUCAAUCAAGACAGUUUUAUAAUGCCAACAAAUCACAACCAACCUAUGUGUGAUUUUAGAAGUAGUUUGUGAAAUUGAUACUUUGACUUCUCAUUAAGUAACUAGUCGCGUGCAAUAAAGAGAGUUACGAAGAAAUGAUAAAGAUAAAUGAAAAUGAGAGAUAUAAUCAGGUGAGAUAUAGGAGUUUUAAAAUGCUAAUCACCUGAGGUGGAGAAUCUCUUACUUGAAGUUCUUUUAGAAAAUCUCAUUGCUUGCAUAUCCAUACAUGUUAAUGAGAUUAGCAUAGGAAUUAUCGGAAACCUUACCUGCCACGAAGUUCCAAUGAAGCGUAAAUAAGGAUAUGUGACAACAGCUAAAGGAAAUGAGCUUGUGGAUUACUUUUUGAAGCGCGAGCUACUAAUGGGAAUGGGAAUAUAUUGUGAAGGAUAUGUUUUGUUUUCUAGGGGACUAAAAUUAGCGAUACAUUUAAUAGAAAGUGAUAAAUUAUUUGAAAGAGUAUUUUUCAAUAGUAAAUAUUUCCCAUACUUCUUCUAUACAUAGUUAUCUUUUCCUCUUUUAGAUAGUAUUUGACUUUAUUUGUAAAAGUUUUUUGUUGUACUUUUGUGGUGGCUCCUCGUUGUCUAAUGCACAGGGAGGGGGGAACUUUUGAGGAGCAACCGACUUAUGAUCUUGCUAUGUAUUUGUUACCCUAGGAUUUCGACUUACUAAAUAAAUGGGCAACUAAGGCCCAAAAUUGGCAAUCGGGCCUCAAUUUGGUGAGAAGGCCCUAAAUUGGUAAUUGGGCCUCAAUUAAAUAAUUACAUUGCCAUUUGGGUCGAAGUGGUUCGACCAAAUAACGCUUAGUAGUCGAAGCUGUUCGACUAGAAAGAUGAUCAGAGGCUUCAGCGUUCGACCAAACCAAAAGGAUGCGAAGACUUAAGGAUUUUUGGCUGCAGAAACUGAAGUGGAGGUCGAGAGGCAGUAGAAGUUAAGAGGCAGUUCCAGGCAGUUUUUCUGGCAGUUCUCACAGGACGCGUGGAAGUCUCACAAUUGAAGAUCUUGCAUGUCGAAGACACGUGUUGACUGAUAGCCAGUCGACCGUUAGUAGUAGUUAUUUUAUUUUUCUAUUUAACCAAGUUUUAUAGGAAUAGUUAGGGGUCCGCAUUUUCUACAUAAACACAAGUAAACUCAAAUCUCUGCGCAAUGAGUAACGAGUGCGACUUCGGAAUGUACGUAUGCGUACCAGUUUAAUUAAAUGCAAUCAUUUUACACUACAUUUUAUCUUUCAG